AACGAACGCUGGCGGCAUGCCUAACACAUGCAAGUCGAACGAGACCUUCGGGUCUAGUGGCGCACGGGUGCGUCACGCGUGGGAACCUGCCCUUAGGUUCGGAAUAACUCCCUGUCAGGGGUGCUAAUGUCGGAUAAUUUACUCGGACCAAAGAUUUAUCGAAUUUGGGUGGGCACGCGUUGGAUUAGCUAGUUGGUAGGGUAAGAGCCUACCAAGGCUUCGAUCGUUAGCUGGUCAGAGAGAAUGGUCGGCCACACUGGGGCUGAGACACGGCCCGGAAUCCUACGGGAGGCGGGAGUGGGGAAUAUUGGACAAUGGGGGAAAGCCUGAUCCAGCAAGGCCGCGUGAGUGAUGAAGUCCGUAGGGUAGUAAAGCUCUUUUACCCGGGAUGAUAAUGACAGUACCGGGAGAAUAAGCACCGGCUAACUCCGUG
rnacentral:rRNA from 1 species